AACCCAUGUUGAGGACAUUUUUUUAGGAGUUCCUUGAACCUUUCCCAUGUAUUAAAUAGAGACUCCAAUUCCAUUUUCACAAAGGAUGGAAUCUCAUUCCUAAGCUU